AGGUGCGAUCAUACCAGCGUUAAUGCAACAGAUUCCAUCAGAACUCCGCAGCUAAGCGGGCUUGGGCCAGAGUAGUACUGGGAUGGGUGAUCUCCCGGGAAGUCCCGAUGUUGCACCCU
rnacentral:rRNA from 1 species